UUAACCAAGGCUGUGUGGGGCGCUUUCCCUUAGCUUUCCUGGGCUUAAGGGGAGCAACAGAGUCUAAAGAAAUGGAGCAGGCUUUAGUAAAAACCUCCACCAUCUCUUCAGUGUUUAAUUUGUUGCAUGGGAUAAAAUCUGCAAAGUUGGCCUGAUAGUGCUCAGAAAAUAAGCUGGCCGUAGAAGGCUGGAUAAAACGAGAGUAAUUCAACAACUUUGAGUGAGACAAGGUGGGAGAAUCACAGACAGGAUCAAUAGUGAUAGUCUCUGCUGCCCCGGCCACCUCUGGAAUAUUAUUUGCUUCUGGAAAAUGUCUGAGUUUAAGGCAGUUCAGUGUCUUGUAGAUGCCGCGGGUGAUUUCCGGCCAUUCAGCACGGAGAACAGAAGCACCCUGGUGGGCUUCCGAGUCCAUGACCCGUCGCACCUCCUCACCAGCCAAGACAGCAUUAACGUCACUCACCCUCAGAGGGCACAGACAGGCUCCCGAGGCUCCUGACAAACAAACAUCACCCUUACAGCAAAUGAGUACGUGUGCAGUGAGCAGAAUGUUCACUAAUCGCAGUGGGAAAAAAGCAAGUUGGCUGUUCACAGGGUUUCAGACUGCCAGUCCCCUGUUCUCCAGCUCAGGAAACCUGUGAUCCAGCAGAGAGCAGUUGGCAGACACAACAUAACAGCCUGCACUGAUAGAGAGGGGUUGGCUGAGUCCGGGAGGGGUGCGGAGAGAACAACGAUGCUGGAUCAAGAGACUUUGUAUUGCCACAUGACAGUUGUAAGCACAACUUUAAGACAUACAAAGCAAGUGUGUGAAUGUGCAAAUGUGCAAGUAUGCAUUUUUGCAAUGUAUUGUACAUGCAGUACAAUACAAUAUACACAAAACAGUACAAUGUAUAAUGUAAAAUAAUACAAUACUGCAGAGGCUCUCAGCCUUUUUGAGACCAAGGCCCCCCAUUGUCUAAGACAAUAUUCAAAGGCCCCCAUCCCCCAGAAACUAAGAGUGUCAAUAGAUUAACAUACUUUAUCAUGAUUAAAGGGAUAGUUCACUCAAAAUGAAACAUUUCUCAUCAUUUACUCACCCUCAUGCCAUUACAGAUGUGUAUGAUUUUCUUUCUUCAACAGAACAUAAACAAAGACUUUUAGAAGAAUUUCUCAGCUCUGUAGAUCCAUACAAUACAAGUGAACGGUGGUCAGACCUUUGUAGCUCCAAAGAUUACAUAAAGGAAACAUAAAUGUAAUCUAUAAGGCUCCAGUGGUUAAGUCCAUAUCUUCUGAAGCGAUAUAAUAAGUGAGGAUGAGAAACAGAUUUUUACUCUAAAUCUCCACUUUCACUUUCACAUCUGAAAUUCACAUCUGUAACUGAAAGUUACAGUGGUGGUUUAGAGUAAAAAAUAUUGUUCUGUUUCUCACCCACACCUAUUACAGUAUAUUGCAUCUGAAAAUAUUGAUUCAAACAAUGGAGUCACUGGGGAUUUCUUUUAUGUUUCCUUUAUGUGAUUUUUGAUGCUUCAAAGGUCUGAUGCCAUUCACUUGCAUUGUAUGUACCUACAAUAGCAAACAAUAUCCCUUUUCUAAUCAAGAAUGUUUUUUCAAAGUGUAGGGUUCUUGUGAUGGCUUUAUGGCUCUUUGGUGAUUAAAAAGUUCUUCAUGUCACACUAUAGCUUUUUCAGAUGUGCAAAUUGGUUUCUGAGUGUUAAGAAGAGAUCUAAAGACAAUAAUUGACAUAGACAAUAAAUGAAUGCCAACAAAAGCCUUCUUCAGCCAAAUAAAAUAUGACACUGCGUCUACAUGCACUUCCAUAGUCAAUUCGGGAUGGGCUUCAAAGCCACAUCAUUAAUCUAACAGUUAGCUAGCAUUGCUCACCCACAUAUACUCAGUUUACUCACAUAAAACAGGACUUGUAUUACACACACUGUAGAAAACUAAUAUUGGCAUUAUAUAUGUAUGCUGUUUAGCCAGUGUGGAACUGUCUCUCAUAUUUACUCACCCUCAUGUGGUUCCAAACCUUUAUGGCUUGCUUUCUUCCGUGCAACACAAAAUAAAAUGUAA